ensembl:lncRNA
GAAAACACAAAUAUGUAUAAAUCAAAAUGUUAUUGUUCCACUUACUCAGACAGAUGAUCUUUCCUUCCCAUCAAAACUAGCACAAGAGCUUUGCAUGAAUAAAAAAGUCUUAAUAUACAUGAUUUAUGUUUUAUACUCAGACAGGGUUGAGAAAAUUUUCAAAUGAUUAAAAGCAAUUAUGCUUCAAAAUUGUGAAAGGGAAUCCUCAUAGUGAAACAGAACUGUACCAUCAUAACUGAUUGGAUUACUUUAGAGAGUAAAUGUUUCAUCUGUAGCCUGAAGGCCCCAGUAUACUGUUAUCACACAUCCCGAUGCUGUCAAUGCUGCUGAGAGUGGCAUUUAGUUGAAUAUGUAAAUAAGGCCUACAGCAGGGGUGCCCAACCCCGCUCCUGGCGAUCGACUGUCCUGCAAAGUUCAGUUCCAACCCUAAUCAAACACACCUGAAGCAACUAAUUAAGGUCUUCAGGCUCACUUAAAAAUUAAAGGCAGGUGUGUUUGAUUAGGGUUGAAGCUAAACAAUACAGGACAGUCGAUCGCCAGGAGCAGGGUUGGGCACCCCUGGCCUACAGUAUGUCCUGCAUGCUUUCCUUCCAACAACGCAAUUUCCUUUUUCAGAAAGUUUGCUUUGGCAAGCUGUUUCAAACUCCAUGAAACAAACUCCAAAUAAACUUUGUUUUGACCUGAUUUUCCUGAAAAUGACAUAAGAUCACAUAAGUGUAUUUUCUGAUUUCACUUGAAAUAUAUUGUUGUUUAAUACUGUUAGAAAAGAGAGAUUACAACUUUUCAUUGACCUUUCAGUCUUUUCCCCUUAAACUGCAUGUUUUGCUGUAUGUUUUAUUCUUUGACUUAUAAUAAUGUUCAAUGUAUUUACAAUUUGACUUUCACAGGGUGACCAGGGUCAAGCAGGGCCCCCAGGGCCUCCUGGACCUCCAGGUCCCCCGGGCCCCAGGGGACCCCCAGGGGACACAGGAAAAGAUGGUCCUCGGGGAGUCCCAGGGCUCCCUGGAGACCCUGGAAUGCCAGGAGAGACUGGUCAAAUGGGACCUGAGGGCCCUCCAGGACAUAAGGUACUGUACAGUUGAAGUAAUCAACAUUUCACAAAUCAUGGAAAACUAUUUCAGCUUAAGAAGAUAUUGUUUAGAAACAAUAUUGUUUAUUUGUCUGUUUGAAAGAAAUUAAUACUUUUAUUUUCAGCAAGGAUGCAUUAAAUUGAUCGUAAGUGACAGUUAAGACUUGUGGAUUGUUACAAAACAUUCUACUUCAAAUAAAUGCUGUUCUUUUGAACA